UGGGGAAUUUUGGACAAUGGGCGAAAGCCUGAUCCAGCAAUGCCGCGUGUGUGAAGAAGGCCUUCGGGUUGUAAAGCACUUUUGUCCGGAAAGAAAUCCUUGGCUCUAAUACAGUCGGGGGAUGACGGUACCGGAAGAAUAAGCACCGGCUAACUACGUGCCAGCAGCCGCGGUAAUACGUAGGGUGCAAGCGUUAAUCGGAAUUACUGGGCGUAAAGCGUGCGCAGGCGGUUUGCUAAGACCGAUGUGAAAUCCCCGGGCUCAACCUGGGAACUGCAUUGGUGACUGGCAGGCUAGAGUAUGGCAGAGGGGGGUAGAAUUCCACGUGUAGCAGUGAAAUGCGUAGAGAUGUGGAGGAAUACCGAUGGCGAAGGCAGCCCCCUGGGCCAAAUACUGACGCUCAUGCACGAAAGCGUGGGGAGCAAACAGGAUUAGAUACCCUGGUAGUCCACGCCCUAAACGAUGUCAGCUAGUUGUUGGGGAUUCAUUUCCUUAGUAACGUAGCUAACGCGUGAAGUUGACCGCCUGGGGAGUACGGUCGCAAGAUUAAAACUCAAAUGAAUUGACGGGGUCAUAGCUGUUUCCU
rnacentral:rRNA from 1 species